rnacentral:rRNA from 1 species
AACGAACGCUGGCGGCAGGCUUAACACAUGCAAGUCGAGCGCCUCGCAAGAGGAGCGGCAGACGGGUGAGUAACGCGUGGGAACGUACCCUUAUCUUCGGAAUAGCUCUGGGAAACUGGAAGUAAUACCGAAUGUGCCCUUAGGGGGAAAGAUUUAUCGGAUAAGGAUCGGCCCGCGUUGGAUUAGCUAGUUGGUGGGGUAAAGGCCUACCAAGGCGACGAUCCAUAGCUGGUCUGAGAGGAUGAUCAGCCACAUUGGGACUGAGACACGGCCCAAACUCCUACGGGAGGCAGCAGUGGGGAAUAUUGGACAAUGGGCGUAAGCCUGAUCCAGCCAUGCCGCGUGAGUGAUGAAGGCCUUAGGGUUGUAAAGCUCUUUCACCGGAGAAGAUAAUGACGGUAUCCGGAGAAGAAGCCCCGGCUAACUUCGUG